ACGGAGGAUCGGCAUUACACUUUUUGCAGUUCGAUUUUACACCACCGACUAGUUUCAACCCUCGAACUGAAAAAAGUGUAAAGUGCGAACUGCAAAAAGUGUAAAAGUUACAUCUUUGCCAGUUCAGGGGUCCGAACUGAAAAAGGUGUAACUUUUGGACUUAGAAUAAUUUCGAGAUUUUUGUCCGCUGUCAAAUCGGGACUUAGUGCAAUUUUGGAGUUGGUGGCAAGAGUAGGUGCUGAGUGAUGCCGGCUUGACCGCUGCUUCGUUGCAGAAUCCGAUGUGCCCUACUCCAACGGACAGUGAUAGCGAGCAGGGUUCGUUGGAGGACUUCCUGGAGCAGUGUCUAGCUCCGUGUUGCUGGGAGAUUUGGAAGACGACGAAGACGUGAAGGAUUAGAACGACGACGAUUCCAUCAUGUACCGAGAGGUGUCGGACAGGUGUCCGCGAGGACUUUGGCAGUGGCGAAGAAGGUCGUGUGACGUCCGUUGCGGUGUCGAUGUACUCCCAGCGAAGUGGCGAAUCAACGCUUUCACCAUGCUUACCACACAUUGGAAGACGUCCUGCAGCUGUUAGGCCAGUUUAACUCCAAACCCUGGCCUCGUCACCUUCCAACAACGCCAAGAACCUCGAAAGUAUCUCAAACGUGCUCAUCCACGUUGAUGAAAAGGAAGAUCAGCUGAAGAAGCAGAUCAUGGAUCCGCUCGUACUAACCAGAGCUGUCCGUUCCUGUUUUCGUUCGAAACGCGCCAACUGUACUUUAACUGCACGGUCUUUGGCACCUCGCGGAGUUUGGCUGCAGUCCCAGCGGGAUGUCAACCUGGAGAGGCAAUACGCUCCCGGGUUUAGUCCACGCCACGCCGACCAGCACGAAUUCCGCGUGUGUCGUCUAUAGCACGAACGUGUCAUGGUACCGCGCAGAGAAAAUCUACUCGAGUGGGCCCAGCAGGUCAUAAGGCCGUGCUGGAGGUAGAGUUCCAGGCUGAGGAAGAAACCGGUCUUGAACCAACGUUGGAGUUUCACGCUAUGGUUGCGUCCGAGCUUCAUCGAAGUGACCUGGGAAUGUGGCUGUGUGAAGCUGAUCAAGUUUCAGUUAUAAACCGUUCUUCCAUCUUCCAGUUGACGUCACAAUCAACAACUUGACGAUCAACUUCUGCCUGCAGGAGAGCAUCGGCAAGCAGCUGGCCGCGUUCCACUGCAGCUUCUCGAAGUGUUUCCGCUGAGGUGAUCCGGAACAUGCUGUGCGGCGAGCAGAACCCUGAGUGGACCCGGGAGGACAUUAUAACCUACACGAAAUCAUGCAAGUCAUCCAGCAAAAUUUCGUGGCAGCCAGCAAACGGUUGGUGUUUGAGAACCUGAUUGCACUCCCGGUGCAAUUUAUUUCGCCGACUCCGGUCCUGUAACGCUAGAGCAUCCGGUAGCCCAGCAGAACGAUCCGACGUUUUCGUCCGGAACGAAAGCCUAAGGUCGCGAAGACCGCCACCAGCGAAGAUAGGAAAAAGGGCACCAAGUCCACGAAGUCAGCGUGGCAUUAUCGGCACUCCUCGGGUGGAGUACAAAUCGGAAAGAAGCUCCCUUCCAAUCUUUGUCCGUCCUCCGGAGUUGGACACGUGCUGCCAGACCGACCUGUUUCUGUACAUAGCUCCGUCGUCGCAAUACCGCGAUCAUCGAGGAUGUCAAGUAGCUGACAGGAUCCUCGGCUCUGUAUCGUAUUCCUUAAGAGUUGAGCUAAAAUGUGUCCACAUCCUUUGGAUCGAUCCCGAACCCUUAGUAUUUUCCCGCAGACGGAUGCGUGCUUCCAGACGGACCUGCUACUACACCCCGGACCUCCGUAACGUUAACAACCUGCUUGUCGUUGAUGCUGUUUGCCGGGAGUAUUCGCUACGUUCCCGAGAACAUAAUCUGCAUCGAAAUUGUCCCGCACGAAUUACUGGGCAUCAACUUCCUUGAUAGGACGCUGGUGUGCGUUCGGAACCGGCCAGAAAGGUUCGCUUACAAUGUCGUUCAAUUAGGUAUUCUUCUGAUGCUGACGGACUGAAAGAAAAGCGCGCGUUCCGCAAGUUUCCACAUCGCCGCGGGGACCUGACCGAGCUGCUGUGGUCAGUUCCGCCUACAACGUACCUACAACGAUAACUGGACCAUGGCGCAGUCCGCUGCCGAAAACGGCAGCAGGUUGAACAGACCUUCCGGUUCGUGGCAGACAGCAAAUCGGAAAUGAUUCGCGUUGACUUCGCAACACCAAAGCUGGUUCCGGCUGGACCAAGACCAAGGUUCAUUUAGAUGGAGGCUUGAGGUUGCUCCAAAAAGCAAACAAGUUGGGACCGGUGGGCGGAACAUUUAACUUGGAACAGCGGUAUUAGCUCGGAAACAUCAAUUAUUUUUAUUAUUAUAUUGUGAAAGCAGUCUUUUUUCAUUUAUUUAUUGUACAGAAUUUUUGAAUAAAUAAACACAUUGUCCAAUCUUAUACUUUAGUUUAAAUUUAAUAUCUCUUAAUAAGAAUCCCAAAGAAAAUUCAAAAACGCCCAAAUAUAGGCAGCAGGCAUUUUUUCACCCGGUGAAACAUUUCAAUUUCAAUUU